UGGGGAAUAUUGCACAAUGGGGGAAACCCUGAUGCAGCGACGCCGCGUGAGCGAUGAAGUAUUUCGGUAUGUAAAGCUCUAUCAGCAGGGAAGAAACUGACGGUACCUGACUAAGAAGCACCGGCUAAAUACGUGCCAGCAGCCGCGGUAAUACGUAUGGUGCAAGCGUUAUCCGGAUUUACUGGGUGUAAAGGGAGCGUAGACGGAUAGGCAAGUCUGAAGUGAAAGCCCGGGGCUCAACCCCGGGACUGCUUUGGAAACUGUUUAUCUAGAGUGCUGGAGAGGUAAGUGGAAUUCCUAGUGUAGCGGUGAAAUGCGUAGAUAUUAGGAGGAACACCAGUGGCGAAGGCGGCUUACUGGACAGUAACUGACGUUGAGGCUCGAAAGCGUGGGGAGCAAACAGG
rnacentral:rRNA from 1 species